UAAGGAUUAGUACUUUAAUAUAUUAAGGGAGGGAGGCAAAAUUCAGUCCAUAACAUUAAAAAUGUAAAAAUGUUUCCGGUGACACAUACUAUCUUUUGGCUUCCAAAGAUCCUACAGCUUCAAAUUUUCUUGAAUCUUCUGAGUCACAAGAACCACCAGGAGUAAUUACAGCCCUAAUUCCAGUUAGGAAAGUUGCAAUGGCUGUAGAAGAUGGCGAGUGCUGUGGACUUCAAAGAAAAGAUUUCUGAAGUGUCACGACAAUUAUGAUGCUUCAAAUUAUGUUGACUAUUCAUUUAUAGCAUAAAGAAGAGUGAGCCACUUUAUCACUGCAGUAAUUAUAUUUUAAAAAUGAAGAAAAUAAAACAAAUGGAGUUUCCCACCCAAUCCAUGGAGACACAGACACGAAGUCUUACCAUAGAUGUGUGGCCAAUCCUUACAUCGCUUUUAUUACAAGCCUGGAAAUGACAAUAAAAUAUAUGAACUUGAGAGUAUAUAAAGGCUCAUCCAAGAUACAUUGGUUGUUUGCUUAACCAUCGUUUUCGCAUGCGCCAUCUGUCAAAGUCUGGAAGAAACCUAAGAUGUGUUGCAUUAAAUUUGAAGAUUCCUCCUGUUCAGAAGCCAGAAACAAACAAAAUCAAUAAGUACUCAUUAAUUAAGAAAACAGAGCAUUAUGAUGAAAUCAUACACAUGGAAAAUUUACCAACAAUAAAAACAACAACAAACACCAUGACAUUCUCCUUUACAAACAGUAUAAACCCCAAGGAAGAGUGAUUUCUCUAUGAUCUAGAAUAGGAACAUAACUGAAAACAAAGAUUUUAAAUAAGAGAUAAGAAUGAAACAUUGAAAAAUCCAUCUGAAGAAAGCCUGAAAAAAUCACCCCACUUUUAAAAGGAUUUCAUAACUGGAUUCAGUCAAGUUAUAUAAGAAGAAGUCCUAUGAGAAUAGUCAAAGGGUUCCAGUCUGUCUGGGGAAAUAAAUUCAAGCUGUUACAACUUAAUACAUCAAUUGCCAUGAUGGAAGUAUGAAAAAACAAUGCCUGGAUAUACAGAAGCAGGAAGAAUAUUCUCUCUUUUACGAGAUAAGAGAGUUAAAGGUACACAGAGAGAAUUGGGAGGUAGUGAUGGAAAUGACUUCAAAGGAACAGGAAGCAUUAUCAGACAGUCCCCAGGAGGAAAAGAGAUAUCUGUCUCCUUUCACAUUUUAUCUCUUUCCCCAAACUCAGUAGUGUUAACAAUUUUUGUUUAAUAAAAAAGAAGGGAAGAAAAGAA